rnacentral:pre_miRNA from 1 species
GAGACACCCUUAUGGAGCAGGACUUGCUUCAGUGGGGCUUUGGUGCUCACUGCGUCUGCCCUUUGAGUGCGUUGCU